GGACGGCAUGGCCGGUGGCGGCUUCCAGCUCGUCGCCUUCGGCGCGGCGAGUGCCGUGAUCCUGGCGCUGACCGCCCA
rnacentral:tRNA from 1 species